GGGUUGAAGAAACCAUCCAAGAUGGGCCCAAACAACAGAAGAUUUCAUUUCCUUCUUUGUGCACUCACUUAACGUUACGCAGUUUAUUAAAAAGUACGUACGUGUGUACAUAUAUUUUAAAAGCCCCACCCUUAACCUCUCUGGGGGUCUUCAUGAGUUUCUGUUGCGCUUUACAAAAGAUCUGUUCGGAGGAAGGGAUCGGACAACCUUGCCUUAUAUGUGUGGUCCACACCAGUAAUUGCCCCGUCCCUUCCUGAGGCCCUUAUUCCUAUGUAAAUACCCUUGCAUAAUGUUACAGGCUAUUGUUAGGCCAGCGCCAGCCAGUCGCACUUAGAUGCAUUUUUACUUCAAUCCGCUGCUCGGAGAAUGAAAAGAUGUCUGGACUUAAGCUGUUUACCAACUGGGCCGAGCUGCGGAGCAGCAAGACCGAAGAAAGCCCAAGCAUCUGCAGGAACAGGCUUUCACAAUCCUUGCCUCUGCGGGUCAGCGGCAGCACCUCAACCUUGCCUGGCCGCAGUACUGAUAACCUUUCCCGGAGAAAAACGCCCAUAACACCGCGCAUCUAAUUAAAUACUCAGAGAGGCAGAGAAGAAAAUACCGGCACACAGAACUCACACCAGUGAGUCCUGCCUUUGGCUGCUGGAGGCUUCCAUAUGCUGCUGUUGUUUACUCUGGAAGGAAACUGAGUCAUUUAACAUUUCAAUAGGUUAAUCAAUUGGCAAUUAAAUGGAGAAAUUGGUUAACUCUGAAAACAAUUAACACGACACUUCAUUAAGUACAGUUUCUAAUUGCUGCAGCUGUGAGUGGAAGUUAAUGAGUUUGUUAAAGCCCCCGACUGGGGUAGCACUGUGUGUGUCUAUGCACGUGCAUGAGGUGUGUGUGUGUGUGUGUGUGUGUGUGUGUGAAUUUGUGUGGUGUGUGUUUGUGUAUGCAUAGUGUGUAUUUAUGUGUGAGUAUGUGUGUCUAUGUGUGGUGUGUGUGUGUCUAUGUGUGGUGUGUGUUUGUGUGUGUGUGUGUGAAUUUGUGUGGUGUCUGUGUAUGCAUAGUGUGUAUUUAUGUGUCUAUGUGUGGUGUGUGUGUGUGCAAAUUUGUGUGCUGUGUGUCAUGUGUGUGUGUGUAUGUGUGUUUUAGAAAGUAGAAAUAACUGGAAAGUAGUUUUAUUCUAUUAUCAACUGCAGUUUUAGCAGAAAGGGGUGAUAUGUAACUUUAUUCAUUCUUCUAAGAGUUCACUUUUAAUUGUUGAAGUAUUUAAUUUACAACAAUUAAUUAAGAUAAACUGAUCCCCUCCCAUCAAACUACAGGUUGUGAACAAAACGAGAAAGUUCUCCUUUUGCUCCCUUUGUGGACACAAUUACUUUGCAGGGUCAGAUAAAUUCCAAGAUUCCUUUCCUAAUUCAAAAAUGUAACACACACGAUGUAGUGGCUAUUCUUGGUUGUCAACUUGACUAUAUCUGGAAUGAACUACAAUCCAGAAUUGGAGGGCUCACCUUUGAUCCUCAUCUUGAAACUGGGAAAUACAAGUUUCUGACCUGGAUCUUGGUAUGGAGAUCUUGAGGCAAAGUGGCUAUGAAUCCCAGGAGCUUAAGGCAAGGAGAUCUCUGAAUUCAAGGUCACCUGGGACAAAGCAAGUCCCAGAGCCAGACCUGGUGGAACACAUCUUUAAUUGGGCCACACCUUCUGCUGGAGAUUUACAUAAGAACAUUGGAAGAAGGAAGAGUCUUUCUCUCUUUUUUUAAAAUUUUUUGCCUGCCUGCCACGUGGACUGAGCCACUGCUAGAGCCUUGGAUCCAUUCAAAGCUGCUGCUGAUCAUUGUUGGGGAGUUGGACCGCAGACUGUAAGGUCAUCGACCAAUUCUCUUCCUAUAUAGAAACUACCCAUGAUUUCUGUGACUCACACAUGACUUAAAGUUAAAAUUUUUGCUGAACAGUUUUUAUGAAUGGUGGCAUCCUGACCUCAAGGUAAAAUGGCGGUGCCCACUAGCCAGCUCUUUUAAGGCGAAAGAUCUCAGGUUUGAGAUUGGUUAGGCUGACACACAGACCUGCUGCAGAGAACAAGAGGAAGGGAAUGCUAAUUUGUUAAGGAGUAAAUGAUGCUUUUAAAAGAUGUCAAAAACAAAUGUAUUUUAAUUAAUUUUAUUAUGUGCACGUGUGUGUGUGUGUGUGUGUGUGUGUG
ensembl:lncRNA